rnacentral:lncRNA from 1 species
CACAUUCCUGGCCAAUGGGAGCUGCAGAGCCAGCGCUCAGGGCGGGGCAAGGCGGUGCACAGAGCCUCCCAGGCAGUCCCUGUGCCUAGGAGUCAGAGGGACACGUUGCCACUUCUGGGAGCCGCACGGAGUCAGGUAGGGAGCCUGCCAGCCCUGACAACUGGACAUUUAACGACCGGAGCCACCAGGGUUCCUUUUUGACCAGGUGUUCCGUUCAAAAACCGGAUGCCUGGAAACCCUAUUUGAAAGGACAGAGAGCCUAGAAACCUGUUCCAGAUAGAUUCUUCUCCCAUUUUGCCCUAACACACAUUACAAACAUACCAGAAGAUAGGGAUAGAAUGAAGGUUGGUAUUGGAAAGGAACAACUAGCAAGGGGCCAAAGCCAGCUUGCCUUACUGACAAAUCAAUAGAUCUAGAGACAUUAUUUAUUAUUAUGUGUUUGUUUAUUAUAGUGACCAUGAUGUGCUAGGGACUUUCCAGACAUUUCCGUGAGCAGACGUGGGACGACACACAGCUGAUUCGCUCUCAGAAGAAAAAUAUUCAGGAAAGGAAAUUUUGUGCUGUUGAUUUGGAUGCCUGCUCCCACCCCUUCCCACCAUCUCACUUCUCUCGCCCUUCCUUCAGGGUUAGUUUCCUGCAUGACACGGGGAAACAAAGAGCGUGGGGGAGAAAUUCUGAGCAAUCACUGCCCUCUCCAUUUCUGGGCAGUGGCGGCAGCAACAGCGAGCUGACCUUAUCUAUAACUGAUGGAUGCUCCCCAUAAAUACAAACAAUGCAGGCAAGCGGCUGAUUUUGCAACUUCUUUGAUAAAACUCCAUGAUUUAGUGUGUAAUACAGUGGAGCUUACUGCGUAACUUCAGUAUAAAACUCAGGAUUUACAAUAGAUCACAUUUAUGCAACUUCACCACCAAACUCUGUGAUUUAUAUGGGGGGAGGAAUUGUGGGUAAAUAUAAAGUACGGUCUCUGCUGGUUUGAGCUGCCUUGUUACAUCUGUGAU